rnacentral:rRNA from 1 species
UACGGAGGGUGCAAGCGUUAUCCGGAUUCACUGGGUUUAAAGGGUGCGUAGGUGGGUCUGUAAGUCAGUGGUGAAAUCUCCGAGCUUAACUCGGAAACUGCCAUUGAUACUAUAGAUCUUGAAUUAUCUGGAGGUAAGCGGAAUAUGUCAUGUAGCGGUGAAAUGCUUAGAUAUGACAUAGAACACCAAUUGCGAAGGCAGCUUACUACGGAUCGAUUGACACUGAGGCACGAAAGCGUGGGGAUCAAACAGG